GGGAUUGCCUCAGUAACGGCGAGUGAAGCGGCAAGAGCUCAAAUUUGAAAUCUGGUACUUUCAGUGCCCGAGUUGUAAUUUGAAGAUUGUACUCUGGAGUUGGCCCUUAUCUAUGUUCCUUGGAACAGGACGUCACAGAGGGUGAGAAUCCCGUGCGAUGGGGAGCCCGAUUCCAUGUAGAGUGCUCUCGAAGAGUCGAGUUGUUUGGGAAUGCAGCUCUAAGUGGGUGGUAAAUUCCAUCUAAAGCUAAAUAUUGGCGAGAGACCGAUAGCGAACAAGUACAGUGAUGGAAAGAUGAAAAGAACUUUGAAAAGAGAGUGAAAAAGUACGUGAAAUUGUUGAAAGGGAAGGUUAUUAGAUCAGACUUGGUGUUUGGCGAUAUUCAGUCUCUCGUAGACUGUUCACUCGCCCUUCACUGGGCCAGCAUCGGUUUGGGUGGCAGGAUAAUGGCUGUUGAACGUGGCUUCUCCGGAAGUGUUAUAGCUUCAGCUGAUACUGCCUACCUAGACCGAGGACUGCGGCUUCUGCCUAGGAUGCUGGCGUAAUGAUCUAAUAUCGCCCGUCUUGAAACA
rnacentral:rRNA from 1 species